AGGGGGAGAAAGGCAAUAAAGGGCUGGAGGAGCGGGAGUAGGAGCCGUGCCAAUCGACGUAAGGAAAUUUUCACAGCUGCUGGUGGUGAUAAAUGAGAAACGGUGGCCUUACUUCUAAUCAAUACAUGUAAAUGCUACUCAUUACAGCCUUUAUACACACUUCUCAAUUAGCCUUUCCUCCCACUGGUAACAAGGAAUGUCAUGCUUUCUGGGCUGUGAAAGUGCUUCAGCGCCGGGUUCACCUGCCACAGAGCAACACUGCUUGCUCUGGGCAGCAGGUGGGAACUGGUGCACGAAUUCCUGCUCAACAUCAGCUGAGUCCCAAGUGGCCCCUCUGGUUGAACAUAGCUUUUUGAAUGCCACUUGUUCACUGGGGGAGACAUGGGUCACACCCGCAUCCUAAAAAUUCAGAAGCAAUUUAGAACAUCGUCUAGAGGAGUUCUAACCAAAUAUUCUCUUCCUGCAUAAAAAUAACAAAUUUAUUUCUACGUUGAUUUUUCUAAGGAAAAGACAUUGUUUCUUGUGAUUAUGCAACUUUUCCAAGUACACACGUGGACUUGAUUAUUUGUAAGUCUGUGAGGGAUUUCCUGACGUGAGAGUAUAGCUUCAUUAGCUUUGUGUAGGGAGGUAAGAAACACUUAGAACAGGAAUCUCUUAGCUCGCCUGAGUUUAGUCUGCCUGUUGGUUGUUCAGCAAUGGCUUAGCUCCUUCCUUCUCCAUUAAGAGGACUGGGGGCUGAGAUAAGGUUAUUUAACAACUACACCAAGAAAUCGGCUCUGUCUCUGUCUCUCUCUGUAUCUCUGUCUGUCUGUCUCUGCCUCUCUUUGUUUCUCUCUGUCUCUCAUACACUCACUCUCAUACUCUCUCU
rnacentral:lncRNA from 1 species